CGGGUCUCUGUAAAGAACGGAAACCGAAACGACCGAAUCCGGAAACGACCGAAACCGGAAACGACCGAAACCGGAAAUUCCCGCCUAAUUUCCUGCCUAAAAUUGCCUAAAAUUUAGCCUGCUCUGAACCACAGAAUAGGAAGUUAUACCAGAAGCGUAACUCUAGUCGUCUCCCUUAUUGUUUGACGUCCACGAAAAUUUUUAACUCGCUCACGUCAG